UGUCACGAGCAUUAGUAAAAUUUUGCUGAUAAAUCCUCUGACGAGUGAGAUUACCGAAUACCUAUUUGAAAAACAGUGUUUUCCUGACUUAAAAAAAAAAAAAAAAAAAAAAAAAAAAAAAAAUCAAUGCCGUAUUUUCUGUCUGCUGUUCAAGAAUGAACAUGAAUAAUUUUUCAUGAAUCGGUCUUAACAACUCACUCGCACACUGAAUCGUUUAGAGCGGUUUUCUGAAAAACUGUAGAACAACAAACCGUUUAGAACACAAUGAACUAUAACUGUUACUUAUAAACUGGACUAACCUACAAAUCCAUCCAAUCGCCAAAGACGAGAAGGUCUUUGUGAAGAUCACCUGCAAGUGCAGCUUAUGAGACUGUGUAACCUUACUGCAGCCUAUGUGUUCACCGCUGAUCAGCUUGUGAAAGCACAUGCCGUCAUGUACGCUGAAUUUGUGUGUCCCUGGACCAAUGAGUAAUACAAGUCUCAGGGGUUUUGAGAAGGCAUUGCCUCAUAGCGUGUAUGUUCUGCCUCCUCCUUCCACAGCCACGCCUGUGAGAACACAGAAAAGAACAUGUAAAUCUUCCUUCACUCAGCACAAAGAGACCGUCUCUGUGGCCGUGGGCCAUGGCUUGGGCACCGUUCCGGCAUCAUGAGGCUCAGGGGUGGCGGGUAAAUGGUCAGAGGCACUUGACCUUUCAUGACCUUGUUAUUUUUCAGUCCAUGGGGGCAAGCGGGGGGAUGGUUUACACAAACUGCCACAAUGUUACUAGCAUUCCACUGGGAAGGAGGAUGACUUCCACAUGGAAUGCUUAAGAGCUAUGUUCAUGCAUAUAAAGGAUAAAUGGGGCUGAUAGCUAAAAUCAUUUUAUAUAAAUAUAAUGAUAUUGUAUAUAUACACUACCGUUCAAAAGUUUGGUGUCGAUACGACGUCUCUUAUGCUUAUCUUAUGCUUUUUACAUUACUCCAGUUUUCAGUCUCACAUGAUUUUUCAGAAAUCUUUCUAAUAUGCUAAUUUCUUAUAAUCGUCAAAGUUUAAAAAACAGUUGAAAAAGAA